rnacentral:ncRNA from 1 species
ACUUGAGCGUUGAUUGGAGAAAGUAGCAGGCAUUUCCCUGUUUCAGAGAGCUGAUGGCCGGUGCGAAUCAGCACAUAAAUGCUUUGUGAAUUACCUCCAUGAGCAUUCUUUGUGAAAGUGAAGUAGCAAAGGACGGUUUUAGCCGUUAUCAGAAUGAGUGAAGAACAUGCAAAUGUUCUUAAGCAGGGUGGUACCGCGUAAUUAUACGUCCCUUCA